AGGAGGGGUGAGUUCGAGGCCAGCCUGGGCUACACAAACAAGUUCAAGUCCAGGCUGAAUUACAUAGUGAGACCCCGUCUCAAAAAAAAUAAAAAAAAUUUAAAAAUAAAAAAAAAAAAUUCAAAGGAUCUAACACAGCUCAAAUAAUUGUGACAGAAUAAAGAUGGUGGAGUACAUCUGAUAUUGGCAUAUUGCUAAAAGAGGUCAAUGGAGAGCCUAAAAUAAGGCCUACAUUUAUACAGUCCUUUAAUAAACGAGUGGUUAAAGAUUUCUUCAUGCAGGUAUAGAAAAUAGAACAGAAAAACUUGUAAAUUAAACAUCCUCAACAUUAAAAAUUUCUGCUCAUUAUAGAUUCAAGAACCAUGAUCAAAUACACUAAAAGUGGACUUUCCUAUUUCUUUUUGAGUUUGACUCUAUUUACAAUUAUCAACAUCUGCAAGGGGUAACAAAAGCAUAAAAGACAUUGCCAAUUAAUUAACCUCAAAAGCUCCCCUUUAAUUCUCUUAUCUAGCCCAUCACCCUUGCCAUUGUUCUGGUAGUACUCUUUCCUAAAAACGUUAUGAUGUUUCUUCACCCACUUCAUUCACCAGAUGUGGCACCAUGCAAAUUCUGGCUCUUCUCUAAACUCAAGAUGACCAUGAAAGUAAACAUUUUGAAUUGAUUCAAGAUGCUGAAGGAGCUCCAACAGCUCACCUAAAGGCACUCACAAAAGAGGACUUCCAGAACAGCGUCAGAAAAUGUGAACAAUGGGUGGCUGCUGCUCAACAAAGCCUUCUGCUGCUCACUCUGGAGUUCAGCAAGUUCUUCUGUCAUCAGCUCCUCCUCAACAAGCUCC
rnacentral:lncRNA from 1 species